rnacentral:ncRNA from 2 species
CCCGCAAACGGCGAUGGAGUUCGCCGGGCGUAGGCCGAAUGCUCUUUGAGCUGAUGACUCCUGUCCCCCU